rnacentral:misc_RNA from 1 species
UUAACUAUUUGCUUUUUAAUUCAGGCUGCAAAGGAUUGCUGAGGGUUUGAGUUUCGGCCGGAGGGCCCCCCAGAGAGGGCCCGCCUGACGCCGAUCAUGAGGCGGGAAGCGAAGGGUGGGGGUGAGCGCCGAAGCGCUCGGUAGCCCAGUAAUGAUCCUUCCGCAGGUUCACCUACGGAAA